rnacentral:rRNA from 1 species
UAAAUCGCCUUAGAUGCUCAUGAUUCCCAUGCGCAUGCAUCCUGGCUCGCCUAUGGCUCUGCUGGGAUUCUUGGGCCCUGAGGCGCGAAACUUUUACUAAUGCGGGCUAACUCUGUGAUAAGGGGAUCUCGUAGAUGCUCUAGCUAACUAUUUGCUUGGCUUGUCUCUAGGAUGCUGUAAAAUGCUAUCUUGUUAGCUAAGGGCUCUGGGCAAGAUCGGUGCCUAGCCUGCUCGCUGGAUAAUAUCUGGCGGCCCGAGAUGGUGAUUGUUAUUAUUGGGUUUAAAGGGUCCGUAGCCGGUUUGGUCAGUCCUUCCGGGAAAUUUGUCAGCAUCAACUUGAUAGGCAUAUCGGGGGAUACAUGCCAGACCUUGGAACCGGGAGAGGUAAGAGGUACUUACUAGGGGUAGGAG